GACGAACGCUGGCGGCGUGCUUAACACAUGCAAGUCGAACGGAAAGGCCCUGCUUUUGUGGGGUGCUCGAGUGGCGAACGGGUGAGUAACACGUGAGUAACCUGCCCUUGACUUUGGGAUAACUUCAGGAAACUGGGGCUAAUACCGGAUAGGAGCUCCUGCUGCAUGGUGGGGGUUGGAAAGUUUCGGCGGUUGGGGAUGGACUCGCGGGUUAUCAGCUUGUUGGUGGGGUAGUGGCUUACCAAGGCUUUGACGGGUAGCCGGCCUGAGAGGGUGACCGGCCACAUUGGGACGGAGAGACGGCCCAGACUCCUACGGGAGGCAGCAGUGGGGAAUAUUGCACAAUGGGCGGAAGCCUGAUGCAGCAACGCCGCGUGCGGGAUGACGGCCUUCGGGUUGUAAACCGCUGUCGCCUGUGACGAAGCGUGAGUGACGGUAAUGGGUAAAGAAGCACCGGCUAACUACGUG
rnacentral:rRNA from 1 species